AAACUGGCGCUGCUCGGCCUGAGAGGGGAGGGGGUCGCGAACUGCUGCAGCCUCCUCCUCUUUGUCCACAGGAGGGCCACAAAGCUGGAGAAGGGGCUGCAGCACAAGGUCUACAAGAAACGCCUGGGGGAGCUGGGGGUGUUUAGCCUGGAGAAAAGGAGGUUCAGGGGAACCUUCUCUCUCUCUACAACUGGCUAAGAGGCGGCUGCAGCCAGCUGGGGCUCGGCCUCUUCUCUCAGGCAACCAGCAAUAGAACAAGAGAACAUAGCCACAAGCUGCACCAGGGGAGGUUUAGGCUGGAUAUUUGAAGGAAUUUCUUCACAAGGAUGAUUAGGCAUUGGAAUGGGGUGCCCAGGGAGGUGGUGAGGUCGCCAUCCCUGGGGGUGUUUAAGGAAAGACUGGACAUGGCAGUCGGUGGUGUUUGGUCAUAGGUUGAACAUAGGAGGGAUCUCCGAGGACUUUUACAACCUAAUUGAUUCUGUGAUUCUGAGUGAGCACCUUCAAGCCGCUACAGGAAAGUAACAGGAGCUCAGCUGGAAGCAGCGGGGGGAUCAUUUGUCCAGCCACAAGAGCAGUCUACAAAGGCUGCUGCAAAUGCAGCGUUUACACAGGUCUUAGGGAAGACCGAGCAGGUGCCUGAAAGAGAACGUAAUCCACCGCUACUGAAGUAGCAAUCUGCAUCAGGUUUGGGAAACAGUCUGAGCUGAAAAUAGCUAGAUGCUUGGACAGACAUAAUUCCUCAGCUUUUACUUUUUGCCAGAUAUGCUGUUAUAGCCAGAAGUGGAUGUGGAAAUAGGUGGAUCCUUCCAGUGCAGCAUAUUCUAAUCACGAUGUAACAGGCUUGCUAGUGUAGCAGAGAUACCUCUGUCCUGGGCCUGCUCUUUCUUUUGUGAAAAAGCACACCCGGAAGGAUGGCAUGCAGAGAGAAACAAAAAUUUGUUUCCAUACAGAAUGCCUGUGAAAAUUCUCCGUGGGCUUUUAGGGGUCUGUUACAUGGACUCAGUUGAAGAACUGCAGCCCUGACGUGUUUGUCCAAGUGAAAGGAAUAUCUAAGGUGUUUCCUGGUUUAACUCUUGUAGCAACUAAGCCCACACAACCACUUACUCUCUCUUGCCUGUAGCAGGAUGGGGUAGAGAAUCAGAGGGGUGAAAGUGAGAAAGAUCAGGGGUUGAAAUAAAUAUAAGGAAAAAUAACUAAUUGAUUUACUGUUUCCCAUUGGCAGGCAUGUGUUUAGCCAUUUCCAAGAAAGCUGGGCUUCAUCAUUCACAAUGGUGACUUGGGAAGAAAAACACUGUAACUCCAAAUGUCCCCUCCUUCUCUCAUUUUUUAUUGCUGAGAACAUCAUAUGGUCUGGGAUAUCCCUUUGGUCAGUUGGGGUCAGCUGUACCAGCUGUUCCAGCUGUGUCCCCUGAGAAAUUCCUGUGCACCCCGAGCCUGCUCACUGUCAGCGCACCAAGAGAGGCAGAAAAGGUCUUGAUGUUGUGCAAGACCUAAUAAGCAUUAGCUAAAACAUCCCAAUAUUAUUUUGGUCACAAAUACAAAAUGCAGCACCUUAAAAGCUAUUUCUAUGAAAAUUAACUAUCUCAGCAAAAAGCAGUAGAGGUGGCUUCAGUGAAUCAUUAAGAAACAACAGCAAUAGAUUAUUUUUGUACCUGGUUUUCCAGUUACUUGCAUUUCAGUACUGUUCUGUCUGUACUUUCUGUUUUGCCAUAAGGCAGGCGUGCUGCCUUUUCAAGUCAGUACGUGCCACAGCUUGCAGAACUAACCAGAGUUGUGUAUACACACAUAUAUAGGAUAGAUAUAAUAGGAAGCUCUUAGGUUCUGUGAAUACAUUAAAACAAUGAAAAUAAUUUCAUCUGUCUGGAAUUUACUACAAACUUCAUUACACAUUUUCCUCCUGUGUUUUAUAACUGGAUUUUAUUAGACAUAGUUUCUUCCCUAGAAUAUCCUCUCAUAGUAAUUGAGGUAUUCAGUUAGGUAGUUUGCAUAACUGAGUCAUUAGGUUCUCAUACUAUGUUGGAAGUUUCUGAAUUUUGUCUUCUAAGGCUUUUGUCAUCAUCAGAUACUAAUCUUCUCAUCGUAGCUAAAAUUGAAGGUCUUGCUACAGCAAAAGACUAAUCACAUUAAUUUCCCUAACUGCUUGAUGGGGGUUAGAGUUGUUUCUUUUUUACUUAUAGAAUUUUUCCCCAUAAGUUGCUGGAGACUAACUACUGGGUACUUGUGAGUGCUUGACCCAAACAAAGAAGUGGCCAAGGGAAAGGGUAGCACUGGGCUGCACCUUUUGCUUUUGGGUCUCUGGGAGUUGUCUCUCGGAGGGGGAGAUAACGCCAGGUUUGGGGCAGUUCAUCUCUUGCUCUCGGCAUUGGAGAGAGAGGACGGUCGGGCUGCUGCUUGCUGCAGGAAGAGUUCACUGUCACCACCCUGUCCCAUCCUGGGAAAUCUACCGUCAUCUGCUUGGGUGCCCAGGAAUCCUGAGCUCGCCUCCUCCUGCCCUGCUGGGCCGACCCUGUCCCACCGCCGCUGCUUCUUCAGCAUUGCUUUGAGGCUUUUCUGCUACUCUGUAGCCCUGCACUGCCCAGCCCUGCCGGGACACCCCUGCCUCCAGCUGCCAGCACAGAGCUCCUCAUCUCAUCCACCAGCCCGGGACUUUCCACCCUUCCAGCUCGGCCUCUCGGAGUCCUGCAGGGGCACCGAGAUCAAACUGCCCCGGGCUUUCUGUGAAAGAAAGCCCUCGAGGUUCCUGGUUCUGUUUAUUAUUAAUGCUGUAGUUGUUGUUUGUUUGUUUUGCCAUAUAUGCUAGUAAAGAACUGUUAUUCCUAUCCUCAUACCUCUGCCUGAAAGCCCCUUUAAUUUUCUAAAUUAGAAUAAUUUGGAGGGUGGGGAUUUGAAUUCUCCACCUCUAGGGAGGUGCUGGCCCUCCCUAGCAGACACCUGUCUUUCAAACCAAGACACUGCCAAAUGUACUUCUGUUAUGUUACUUUAUGCUCUUUGAAAUAAGGUGCUGAUUUUCUUUUGCAGAACAAACAAGCAACAAGUCAGACACCAGGUGGUGCUGAAGACUGGCCAGAAAAGAAAGUGAACUGAGUGCAUGUUCAAAAAGAAUGAGAAGCAAAAACCAACAGCAAGAGAUUCAGUAUCUGAUUUCAGUAAAUUGGGAACGACGUGCUGUAACGUCAGUGAGCAGACACUACAAUCAAGAAGUCAUUUUCCCAGGAUGCAGGACAUCUUCUGUGCCACGGAUAUCACUGCUUUGGUUUCAGCUCAGCCAUGUUGGUUUAGGUGGUGUUCACUUGGAAAGAGACUUGAUGCAAAACGCUCGUAAGUACAUGGAACAUAGAAAAAUAUGGUUUUUAUUUACUGAAUCAAUUGAUUUAUUCCUUGAUUAUUGGUUUUAAUGUUCAUGGCAAACUGACUUACGAGUGCACUGUUCUUUUAUGACUGAUUUCAGCAUUCAUGAAUCUUUUGUGGGGAGUACUUGUGAAGAAAUAUUUUGACUUCGUUACUGCAGUUGUUUUUUAUUCCAAUAGCACUUACAUUCUAAUGGUAUCAUAAGAAAAAAAAACAACUGAAAAUAGUAAAAUUAAAGCAUAGUUUUAGAUUUCAGUGGAAGUUAAUAUUAUGGUUGCUUAUGGUUGCUAAUACAUAUGUAGGCUUCUACAUUUAAAAAUCUGUGAGUAUGCACUGACUCUUAAAAAAAUCAAAAGAAAAUUCCAAGAAUGCAACAUUCUAAAUUCAUUCCUAUUUGUUGGGUGUCAACAAAUAUUUAAGAACCUAACUUCUGAGACAAAUUAUGUUUGCAGGUUUGAAAAUUAAAAUAAGAUUUAAAAAGAAAGUGAUUUUUUCCUUAUGUGUAUACAGUAUGAAAAAGGGAUGUUGAAACAAAGUUUUGAGUGCCACAAUAUAUUUGAGAAAAUAAAAUGUCAUUUACAGUGUUGUUUCUAAAGCGAGCUUUGAGAGAAAGUCAGCAACAAAAUUACCAGGUUUUAGUCUUCAUGACAUUAGGGGGCACCACAACCUCACAGACUUGGAAUGAUGUAAGUUAAAGUAUGGUUACUUUUCCCGUCCAAAGUAAACAGGGGACAGCAUAAAACAAAAUCAGCUCCUGGAAUCAUUCUCUAGUGCGAGGUUAUGAUACAGUUCUUAAUAAAAUUUCAAACAGAAGACAGCCCCUACAUUCAGUAGAGUAUAGAUGACACCCUCCUUUUUCUAAGGGUAAUAAAAUUAACAGACUAAUGGAUACUAUAUAUACAUCCUCCUUUCAAGUCUAUUUAAAUCUUGAAGUUUCCUUUCAGCUGAAGCCUCUAAGGUAUCACAGUGUUAGUUCAAUCAGUGGAGUGAAUCUCUGUGUGGGCAGGGACUACAGAGUGAGCUUGGGACAGAGCUGCUUUAAAUCCGGGUCCUUGGACUGGGUGUCAUGCCUGGUGUAAUCACCAUAAGCUAUCAGUGCACACCACCAAACACGGCCGUGCUGCACGGAUGACGUGUAAAUCUCACACUGCAAGGGGGGACAUUGCCAGUCUUAGCCCAAGACAGGCAGACGUGGCAGAUGAUUUACUUAGUAGGCGAUUUCCUCAGCAGACCUAUCGAGGAAGAAGGUGUCUCUUCAGAGGGCUGGUGUGCUUGAAGAAGGACAACAGCUGUGAUUUCAAGAUCUGUUUUGCAGGCCUGAAAAACAAGAUGCCUUGCUAUUGAUCCUCUACAGCUGAAAUGAUGGCGUGCUUGAUGUAUCAGAGAUAAGAAGCUGGACAACAAGCUUAUAAGCAAGAUGCCUGUCAUUCCUGGAAGACUAACACUGGUCUCCCUAGUGUUCUUACAGCUUGACCUAGACAACUGAGCUCUGAAGGAUGAUUUUUGAUGGAAAUCCACACUGUAAAAAAUAUCCACAUGUAACAUUGAAGAGUAUAUGUUCUACUGCAAAAAAUGAAUCAUAUGAUAGUAGUGUGCUUUGAGUACAGAUGAAGUAAUCAAACAAUUAAAAUGUCAUGAAGGGAGAUGACUAGCAGUAGGGCAAAGUAUGACAUGAUAUAUGAGAAACUCAUCUAAUUUAAUUAAGUGGAAAGUAUGACUCAUAGUCUUUGGAGCUGGGCUGGGGAGUGACGAUUCCACAAAGUAAAGCAACGAUCUGAUGCUACAGUUUCUAGUUUCUCUAUUGUCUGAAUAUGGAUGCCUUAGUAAAAAGCUCGCCCUGACUGGAGGCAGUGGUUAAAACUAACGGAGUAGCUGAGGUCCCGGUUAGUGCAGGAGGCAGACUGGGGCAGAAAUAGCUGUUAGAGAGCUACUACUUCUCUACAGCCUGAAAUAACAAAGAGUGGCAGUGUUUCAGCCUGUAAACCUGCAUGCAUGAUGAUUAAGACCUGGGUUACUAUACUGGCAGAAAUCUUUCUCAUGUGGUCAGUCACACAAAGAAAAGAUUAUUACUCAUUGGCACUCUCAGACUUUCUGUAUCAUAAUUUUGUACCUACAGAUAUAUAUGCUAUGAUUCUGUAUAUGAAUAUAUAGGCUGUGCAGAAUAAUACAUGUAGGACCUAUAAUAAAGUA